UGCAGUCGAGCGGACAGAUGGGAGCUUGCUCCCUGAUGUUAGCGGCGGACGGGUGAGUAACACGUGGGUAACCUGCCUGUAAGACUGGGAUAACUCCGGGAAACCGGGGCUAAUACCGGAUGGUUGUUUGAACCGCAUGGUUCAGACAUAAAAGGUGGCUUCGGCUACCACUUACAGAUGGACCCGCGGCGCAUUAGCUAGUUGGUGAGGUAACGGCUCACCAAGGCGACGAUGCGUAGCCGACCUGAGAGGGUGAUCGGCCACACUGGGACUGAGACACGGCCCAGACUCCUACGGGAGGCAGCAGUAGGGAAUCUUCCGCAAUGGACGAAAGUCUGACGGAGCAACGCCGCGUGAGUGAUGAAGGUUUUCGGAUCGUAAAGCUCUGUUGUUAGGGAAGAACAAGUGCCGUUCAAAUAGGGCGGCACCUUGACGGUACCUAACCAGAAAGCCACGGCUAACUACGUGCCAGCAGCCGCGGUAAUACGUAGGUGGCAAGCGUUGUCCGGAAUUAUUGGGCGUAAAGGGCUCGCAGGCGGUUUCUUAAGUCUGAUGUGAAAGCCCCCGGCUCAACCGGGGAGGGUCAUUGAAAACUGGAGAACUUGAGUGCAGAAGAGGAGAGUGGAAUUCCACGUGUAGCGGUGAAAUGCGUAGAGAUGUGGAGGAACACCAGUGGCGAAGGCGACUCUCUGGUCUGUAACUGACGCUGAGGAGCGAAAGCGUGGGGAGCGAACAAGAUUAUAUACCCUGGUAGUCCACGCCGUAAACGAUGAGUGCUAAGUGUUAGGGGGUUUCCGCCCCCUAGUGCUGCAGCUAACGCAUUAAGCACUCCGCCUGGGGGAGUACGGUCGCAAGACUGAAACUCAAAGGAAUUGACGGGGGCCCUCACAAGCGGUGGAGCAUGUGUUUAAUUC
rnacentral:rRNA from 1 species